AAGUCGUAACAAGGUUUCCGUAGGUGAACCUGCGGAAGGAUCAAUCCAAAUAUAUACAUUUUAUAUGUGUAUUAUACAUUUAUUGAAUGGUGGUUUUCUGGUGUUUGCCUGCUUUUUUUAUACUGCAUUCAAUCAUCAGUUUAACUGUCGUGAUUACAAUUAGACGGUGUCUAAGUAAUCAAACCAAUUUUAGCCAUUUGAAAUAUUUAAAACCGAUACACAACUAUUAGUGGUGGAUCACUUGGCUC
rnacentral:misc_RNA from 1 species